GGCAAGGUUUGGUUCCUACAGUCCCAGGAGUUUUGCUGUUAAUUGCAAUAGCAGUAGGGCUGGACCACUCUGUACAGGUAACAGGGAGCCUGCUCAUGCCAUUACUGGAGAAGGGCUACUGGACUGCAGGGACCUUCAUCCCAGCUGUUUUUAUGUUGCCUCCCAUCUUUGUUAAUAAGAUUGUGGAGGAUGAAUCAAAAGCAGCUUCUGGAAUGAGGCUGGAUUGGAGCACCUCAGAGAAAUACUGGAUGAAAACUGAACUCCUUGCAUGCUCUGGAGAAGAGGUUGGCCACUGCAGAACAGUAAAUAUGAUAGUAGAAAACACAAGAAUGAGAAAAAAGGAACAGGAUCCUUUUUCCUCUUCAUACAUUCCCAUGAAUUCACGAUUAAAAGCAACUGCAUCAUUCUGUAAAGAAAAAAUUCUGUGUCAUUUUCUUAUUUCUUUACACCAAAGUUAUUAAAUCUGGUGCAAAGAACGUACUUUUGGUUUGAUCAUUUCUCACCCAGCCUAUAGGGUAGGCUGUUACAUGAUAUUCAGAAUUCAUUCUCUAAAUAAUUCCAGUGAUGUAUUACUAAGAAUGGUAAGAUCUUAAUUGCCUUCCAGCAGUUUUAGGUUACACUUCACCCUGCACUGCAUCUACAGUCUACAUAUGUUUAA